UCAAUUUUUAAGGUGGUUCUUGGUACUAAUUCAAAGAUACAAAAUCUUAAAGGAAGAUACUAUUCCUCAAGCAUCAAUGUCUUCCUCCAGUUUCUCCCUCACACCCCUAUCUCUAAUCCAAAAACCCACCUCCCAUGGCUCAUUCUCCAUCAAAUUCUCCCUCUCCAAACCACCACAGGAUCCAAAACUCAUCAAAACUCCCAAAUUCAAGUCAUGGGUAAGCCCAGAUUGGCUCACUUCUCUAACUCGUACACUAACCUUUACACAAGAUGAUUCUGGUAUACCCAUUGCAAAUGCUAAACUUGAAGAUGUUUCAGAGCUUCUUGGAGGUGCCCUUUUUCUUCCAUUGUUCAAAUGGAUGAAUGCUUAUGGACCCAUUUACCGUUUAGCUGCUGGGCCCCGCAAUUUUGUGGUGGUUAGUGACCCCGCCAUUGCUAAACAUGUUUUGAGGAAUUACGGAACAAAGUAUGCUAAGGGACUUGUUGCUGAAGUUUCUGAAUUUCUCUUUGGUUCUGGGUUUGCCAUUGCUGAAGGCUCUCUUUGGACGGCAAGGCGCAGGGCUGUUGUUCCAUCACUUCACAAAAAAUAUCUCUCGGUAAUAGUUGAACGGGUUUUUUGUAAAUGUGCUGAAAGGAUGGUUGAGAAGCUGAAAGCCAGUGCAGCCACUGGUACUGCUGUGAAUAUGGAAGCUGUAUUUUCACAACUCACACUGGAUGUUAUUGGCCUAUCAUUGUUCAACUACAAUUUUGACUCUCUGACUGCCGAUAGUCCUGUAAUUGAUGCUGUUUACACUGCACUUAAAGAGGCAGAGAACCGUUCCACUGAUCUUUUACCUUAUUGGAAGGUUAAAGCCUUGUGUAAAGUUGUUCCGAGACAAAUAAAAGCUGAGAAAGCUGUGGAUGUCAUCAGGGAUACCGUGGAAGAACUUAUUGCAAAGUGUAAGGAGAUUGUCGAAGCUGAAGGUGAAAAGAUUGAUAAUGAAGAAUAUGUGAAUGAUGCAGAUCCUAGUAUACUACGUUUCUUGCUGGCUAGCCGGGAGGAGGUAUCUAGCAUACAGCUCCGUGAUGACCUCUUGUCGAUGCUGGUUGCUGGUCAUGAAACUACUGGUUCAGUUUUAACAUGGACGGUGUAUUUAUUAAGUAAGGAUCCAUCUUCUUUGUCUAAAGCAAAGGAAGAAGUUGACCGCGUUUUACAGGGUAGGCUUCCAUCCUUUGAAGAUACAAAAGAACUCAAGUAUUUGGCGCGUUGUAUAUUAGAGUCGAUGCGUCUGUAUCCUCAUCCUCCAGUUUUACUCAGAAGAGCUCAAGUUCAGGACACCCUUCCUGGAAAUUACAAGGUCAAUCCUGGUCAAGAUAUAAUGAUAUCAGUAUACAAUAUCCAUCAUUCCUCCCAGGUGUGGGAAAGAGCAGAAGAGUUCAUUCCUGAAAGGUUCGAUUUGGAGGGUCCACUUCCUAAUGAAACAAACACUGAUUUUAGGUUUGUUCCGUUCAGCGGAGGCCCUCGUAAGUGUGUAGGUGAUCAGUUUGCUUUAUUGGAAGCGAUUGUAGCUCUCACUAUCCUUCUUCAAAACAUCAAUUUUGAGUUGAUUCCGGAUCAGGACAUUACUAUGACUACUGGUGCUACCAUCCAUACAACAAACGGCUUGUAUAUGAGAGUAACAGAACGCAAAGAUGAACCUGUAUUUGCUACAUGACUAUAGGAUGGAACCUCGUCGGAUUUGUGUGGAUUUGUGCGCAGUCAACUCUCUUCUAAUGCGGAUCUGGUUGUCUACACCCAAUAACAAAUAUAUCACUGUCAUCUUAAAAUAGAAUCAGUUUGACAGUAAACAGGUAUCACCUCAGACGAUAGUCAUUGGACACGAUCACUCCUCUCCUAAGAUAUCUUCAUCAUUCGUGACAAUCUACAGAGCCAAAGGCGCACAUUGUGUGGAUGAAUAGUACCGACAUUUUUGAAGUUCUGUAAGUUUUCCUCGUUCAGCAUUGUACAUCAACGACUAUAUCAUAAGCACUUUAUCAUCCUCGGAUUCCAAAAUUAACUCUGAUAGUAUGCAUGGAAGUACAUCAGUUAUAGGUUUAUCAUCCUCGUAAUCUUGAUUAAGAUUUUUAAUAACGUUUUUUCUAAAUUUAACUGGCUCGUCGUCCGAAUAAAUUUAUCAAUCACUGUGAUAUUUCUUUUCACAAUAUCGCUUCUAGUAGCAAAUUUACCGAAACAAAGAAAAUAAUUUAGUAAUUAGUAUAUUUUUUGGUUGGAAAAAAGGAAAAGGCACAAAAGAAGUUUGGUUAUAUACAGUGCCAUAUCGGUAUCAGCUAUCAAGUAAUAUGCCAUCUUGGGUACCAAGGUAUAUUUCACCUUACUUUUGUAAUAUGCUUUCCUAUAUUAGUAUUUUUUUUUUUU